rnacentral:rRNA from 1 species
AGAGUUCGAUCCUGGCUCAGGACGAACGCUGGCGGCGUGCUUAACACAUGCAAGUCGAGCGGAAAGGCCCUUUCGGGGGUACUCGAGCGGCGAACGGGUGAGUAACACGUGAGUAAUCUGCCCUGUGCUCUGGGAUAGCCACCGGAAACGGUGAUUAAUACCGGAUAUGACGCAUCGCUGCAUGGUGGUGUGUGGAAAGUUUUUCGGCAUGGGAUGUGCUCGCGGCCUAUCAGCUUGUUGGUGGGGUAAUGGCCUACCAAGGCUUUGACGGGUAGCCGGCCUGAGAGGGUGACCGGUCACACUGGGACUGAGACACGGCCCAGACUCCUACGGGAGGCAGCAGUGGGGAAUAUUGGACAAUGGGCGGAAGCCUGAUCCAGCAACGCCGCGUGAGGGAUGACGGCCUUCGGGUUGUAAACCUCUUUCAGUACCGACGAAGCGAAAGUGACGGUAGGUACAGAAGAAGGACCGGCCAACUACGUGCCAGCAGCCGCGGUAAUACGUAGGGUCCGAGCGUUGUCCGGAAUUAUUGGGCGUAAAGGGCUCGUAGGCGGUUUGUCGCGUCGGGAGUGAAAACACCGGGCUUAACUCGGUGCUUGCUUCCGAUACGGGCAGACUAGAGGUAUGCAGGGGAGAAUGGAAUUCCUGGUGUAGCGGUGAAAUGCGCAGAUAUCAGGAGGAACACCGGUGGCGAAGGCGGUUCUCUGGGCAUUACCUGACGCUGAGGAGCGAAAGUGUGGGGAGCGAACAGGAUUAGAUACCCUGGUAGUCCACACCGUAAACGUUGGGCGCUAGGUGUGGGGCCUAUUCCAUGGGUUCCGUGCCGUAGCUAACGCAUUAAGCGCCCCGCCUGGGGAGUACGGCCGCAAGGCUAAAAC